rnacentral:rRNA from 1 species
UACGAAGGGGGCUAGCGUUGCUCGGAAUCACUGGGCGUAAAGGGUGCGUAGGCGGGUCUUUAAGUCAGGGGUGAAAUCCUGGAGCUCAACUCCAGAACUGCCUUUGAUACUGAGGAUCUUGAGUUCGGGAGAGGUGAGUGGAACUGCGAGUGUAGAGGUGAAAUUCGUAGAUAUUCGCAAGAACACCAGUGGCGAAGGCGGCUCACUGGCCCGAUACUGACGCUGAGGCACGAAAGCGUGGGG